rnacentral:tRNA from 1 species
GCGCCUGUAGCUCAACUGGAUAGAGUGGUGGGCUUCGAACCCAACGGUUGCCCGUUCGAGUCGGGCCAGGCGCACUA